AUUGAACGCUGGCGGCAGGCCUAACACAUGCAAGUCGAACGGUAGCACAGAGAGCUUGCUCUCGGGUGACGAGUGGCGGACGGGUGAGUAACGUCUGGGAAACUGCCCGAUGGAGGGGGAUAACUACUGGAAACGGUAGCUAAUACCGCAUAACGUCGCAAGACCAAAGUGGGGGACCUUCGGGCCUCACACCAUCGGAUGUGCCCAGAUGGGAUUAGCUAGUAGGUGGGGUAAUGGCUCACCUAGGCGACGAUCCAUAGCUGGUCUGAGAGGAUGACCAGCCACACUGGAACUGAGACACGGUCCAGACUCCUACGGGAGGCAGCAGUGGGGAAUAUUGCACAAUGGGCGCAAGCCUGAUGCAGCCAUGCCGCGUGUAUGAAGAAGGCCUUCGGGUUGUAAAGUACUUUCAGCGGGGAGGAAGGCGGUGAAGUUAAUAGCUUAACCGAUUGACGUUACCCGCAGAAGAAGCACCGGCUAACUCCGUGCCAGCAGCCGCAGUAA
rnacentral:rRNA from 1 species